rnacentral:rRNA from 1 species
CCUACGGGGGGCAGCAGUGAGGAAUAUUGGUCAAUGGACGAGAGUCUGAACCAGCCAAGUAGCGUGAAGGAUGACUGCCCUAUGGGUUGUAAACUUCUUUUAUAUGGGAAUAAAAUGUUCCACGUGUGGGGUUUUGUAUGUACCAUAUGAAUAAGGAUCGGCUAAAUCCGUGCCAGCCGCCGCGGUAAUAAGGAGGGUCCGAGCGUUCGCCGGAUUUGUUGGGGUUAAAGGGAGAGUAGGUGGAUUGUUAAGUCAGGUGUGAAAGUUUGGGGAUCAAACGUAAAAUUGCAGUUGAAACUGGCAGUAUUGAGUACAGUAGAGGUGGGCGGAAUGCGUGGUGUAGCGGUGAAAUGCUUAGAUAUCACGAAGAACUCCGAUUGCGAAGGCAGCUCACUGGACUGCAACUGACACUGAGGCUCGAAAGUGUGGGUAUCAAACAGGAUUAGAUACCCGAGUAGUC